rnacentral:lncRNA from 1 species
AGUAUUGCACAUAUUAAAUAUUUAUUAAUGUGCCUAUUUAUUUAUUUUUUUUUUUUUUAUAGCACAUAAGUUUUACUUCUGUUCACUAUAAAACAAAGAAUAUAAAAAAAUAUUCAAACUUAAUAUAUCUUAGGGAAUUACCCUUAAAAAGAGAAAGCGACUUUGAGAUAAUAAACAAAAAAUUAAAAGAUAUAGGAGUGUGCUCGAAAGACAUUAUAGAAACAUUUAUUAAGGGUACAGGAAAAGGAGGACAGAAAGUGAAUAAAACCAACAAUUGUGUUAUGAUAAAAUAUGAUGGUAGUAAUAAAAAUAAAAUAAUUAUAAAAUGUCAUAAAUAUAGGUGUUUAGAAAAAAAUAGAGUUUACGCGCGGGAGCUGUUAUACAAUAAACUUGUUUCAAUCAAUAACAAAGUUAUAGAGGAAUUAACUUAUCGAUUGGAGAAAGAAAAAAGAAAAAUUCUAAAGUUAAGUGAAAAAGAGAAACGAAAAUCAAUAAAUUACAAAAUUAGAAGAUCUGAAAUAAAAAAGGACAGACAAAAAUAUAUAGCAUAUGAUAAUUCUAUUGGUUAAUCUAAAUUCAUUUAUAAUAUUUGCGUUAGUUUCUUCUUCAUAUUAUUUUCCUAGUUCUAUAUACUGUUUGUUUCGCUACCUUUUUUAUUCUGUCACUUUUAAUAGUUUUAUAAAUAAGAAAAAUAUGAAAUAUUGCUUCCAUUCAUAAUUCGUUAUUCAAAUAAAUACAUAUACAAUAAUGUUAAAUGAUUAAUU